AGAGUUUGAUCCUGGCUCAGGAUAAACGCUGGCGGCGUGCUUAACACAUGCAAGUCGAGCGAAAUUAUAAAAAAUAAUGUUUAUUUAAUUAUUUUUUGUAAUUUAGCGGCGAACGGGUGAGUAACGCGUAGGUAAUCUGCCUUAUACAAUGGGAUAACUAUUAGAAAUAAUUGCUAAUACCAUAUAAGCGCACAAGAGAAUAUUUUGUGUGAAAAGUUUUUAACGGUAUAAGAUGAGCCUGCGUCUGAUUAGUUAGUUGGUGUGGUAAUGGCAUACCAAGACAAUGAUCAGUAGCCGAUCUGAGAGGAUAUACGGCCACAAUGGGACUGAGACACGGCCCAGACUCCUACGGGAGGCAGCAGUGGGGAAUAUUGCACAAUGGGGGAAACCCUGAUGCAGCGACGCCGCGUGAAGGAUGAAAUACUUCGGUAUGUAAACUUCUAUCAGCAGGGAAGAAAAAUGACUGUACCUGAAUAAGAAGUCCCGGCUAACUACGUGCCAGCAGCCGCGGUAAUACGUAGGGGACAAACGUUAUCCGGAUUUACUGGGUGUAAAGGAAGCGUAGACUGAUUAAUAAGUCUAGUGUGAAAUGUUAAAGCUUAACUUUAAAUUGCAUUAGAAACUGUUUUUCUAGAGUAUCGUAGAGGUAAGUGGAAUUUCUAGUGUAGCAGUGAAAUGCGUAGAUAUUAGAAAGAACACCAGAGGCAAAGGCGACUUACUGGACGAUUACUGACGUUGAGGCUUGAAAGCGUGGGGAGCAAACAGGAUUAGAUACCCUGGUAGUCCACGCUGUAAACGAUGAAUACUAGAUGUUGGAUGUUUUUAAAACUAUUCUGUAUCGUAGCAAACGCGAUAAGUAUUCCACCUGGGAAGUACGUUCGCAAGAAUGAAACUCAAAGGAAUUGACGGGGAUCCGCACAAGCGGUGGAGCAUGUGGUUCAAUUCGAUGCAACGCGAAGAACCUUACCAAAUCUUGACAUUUUUUUGACAAAUCAGUAAUAUGAUUUCCACUUGUGGCAAAAAAACAGGUGGUGCAUGGUUGUCGUCAGCUCGUGUCGUGAGAUGUUGGGUUAAGUCCCGUAACGAGCGCAACCCUUAUCUUUAGUAGCUAGCAGGUUAAGCUGAGCACUCUAAAGAAACUGCCAGGAAUAACCUGGAGGAAGGUGGGGAUGACGUCAAAUCAUCAUGCCCCUUAUGAUUUGGGCUACACACGUGCUACAAUGGCGUAAACAAAGAGAAGCAAUAGUGUGAACUUAAGCAAAUCUCAAAAAUAACGUCUCAGUUCGGACUGUAGUCUGCAACUCGACUACACGAAGUUGGAAUCGCUAGUAAUCGCGAAUCAGAAUGUCGCGGUGAAUACGUUCUCGGAUCUUGCACUCACCGCCCGUCA
rnacentral:rRNA from 1 species